rnacentral:lncRNA from 8 species
AUGCCAGGCCCACCAAGAGAGGGAGGUCAUAUGCCCCCUCUUGAUGUGCACCAGAUAGGUAUGACAGACUAUGUGAGGAAAUUGACGGAAUUGUCUGCAGCUCUCUCCAAACAGAUACACCGUGUCCAAGAGGGGGAGCUGUCGGGAGAGCCGGAACCACCAAGGGUAAAAGUUGGUGACUGGGUAAGGAUCAAGGUCCACAAGAGAAAGUGGCAGGAUCCCAGGUGGACUGGACCGUACGAAGUGAAGGAGGUUACUUCACACUCAGUCCAGGUCAAAGCACAUAACAGGAACUGGCCCAACCACAAGCCUACGGGGGCCCCAUCUCGUGAUAACAGCAACAGUGUCUGGCAUGCUCGACCCUGUGAAAACAGGAACACACACACACACAUAUAUGCCAUAGCUUAUCCAAGGCACUCACACCCAGAUUUAGAGCUUUGAUAGAAACUCAACAUCAUCAGAACAUUGCGCAAGAUCGCAGGAAGACGCAUGAACAGAUGGAGCCAAUCGACGGUGACAACACCUGGACCUGAGCCAACCAGAGGACCAGGACUUCAAGACUCAACCUACUUUCUGUGUUGUAUAAAACAUGUAAACAAACUGUUUUAGGGGCUCUCUUCCGCUGGCUCCCUCAGAGCUACUGGAACGAGUCCGUGCACGCUGUACCAAAUAUCUUCACUCUGAAUAAACUAUCGCUUGUCAUAUAAUUUAGCGCCUUGUCCGAAUCAGUCCUUGACCGACUCUCCCUUCUACUCAUUCCAUUUACCAACAGUAAGCUCAUUGUCAAAUAAAAUAAAAUAAAAUAAAAUGUUAUUCGUCACAUGCUCCGAAUACAAGAGGUGUAGACCUUACAGCAAUAUGCUUACGUACAAGCCCCUUAACCAACAAUGCAGUUCAAUAAAUAGAGUAUUUAGUAAAUUAACUAAAGUAAAACAUUUUUUAAAUAACACAAGAAAAUUACAUAACAAUAACGAGGCUAUAUACAGGGGGUACCGGUACCGAGUCAAUGUACCUGGGUACAGGUUAGUCGAGGUAAUUUGUAAAG